GUCAGCUCAACUCUUUCCUCCGAAUCACCUCCCAAGUAGCAACCAUGUAAUUUCAGGAAACCCAAAGCAACUCUUAAGAAGGGCAACGUGAGUGAUCCUUGCACAGGGUGCUGACCUGAAACCUGAAACCUCUGUGGUCCUGUUUUUCAUUUCUCAGGGUGAGGGUGCCUUGCAUUUCCACCAGGGAGCCCUGAAGAAUAGUUCCUGCUGCCAUUGUCCUCUGCAGAGAGCAUCCUGCAGUUCCCACAGCAGGACUGCCGCUGCACUUAGGGCUUGCCAACAUUCUUCUGACUUCCAACCUGUCUUCAGCAGCGGGGGUGCUGGUUUCCCUUCAUAUUCUUCGCUCAUGGAAAGACCUAAGCUGACUUAUCUGUAGACUGGGCCAUUCUCAGGGAAGCCAGAUAACUCCGUGGGAUUGCCUUUAAAAACAUUACAGAAAUCUCCAUUCUGCAAAUCUAAAGAUAAAACUUCAUUUUCUGGACAAGCUGAGCUCUCAUGCAAGAGUGCAAGGUUCAGUCUCAGAAGGGCAGACUUAUAGUAACCGAACUCAUUUGUAAACUGAGCAACCAAGCCCAUUUUUAAGAUCCAGAACCACUGAAGAAACUCAAGCAGUGCUCUUGGCUCUUGGCUCUUAGCUGGUGCACUCUCCCUCUGGGGGCCUACAGGAGGUCCCAAUUAUCAUUAGUGGUUGCUUGAUGAGGGUGGCUUCCAGACGCUUCUGAGUACUGACAACAGUGUGCUCUGCUGCCAAGGCAUCCUGCCUCCCUAUGGAGAACAUGGAGUAGUCAUUUAAUACCUGCCACCCAAGGGACUGGAUGGAAGAAGGGCAGGCUUCAGAGGAUUUAUACUCUGAAGACAGUUAUGUUUGAUCUGAAAAUGAAAAAGUGGUGGGGAACCAGCACAAAGGCACUGUGUAUAAAUCAGGAAACAAGCCCUCACCAGAUACCAAGUCUACUGGCACCUUGAUCUUGGACUUCCCAUCCUCCAGAACUGUGAGAAAUAAAUUUCUGUUGUUUAUAAGUCACCCACUCCAUGGUAUUUUGUUAUGGCAGCCUGAACAGACUAAGAUAAAAUAUGACUUCCCAUUCUACAGAUAGAAAAGCUGAUGAGCAGAGAAGAUAAUUAACUUGCCUAAUGGAUACCUAGCUAGUAAGAAAGAGUGAGUGAGCUGGGACUUAAAUCCAGAGGCUGUGUUUCUGACAUCCCACAUUAAAAGCUAUUUCCCAUGUCUCCACUCCUGACCCCAGUAAAGCUAUUUCCACCCAUAUCUUUUCUGCCAGACAAUCUCAUAAGCCUCCUGACCAUUAGUUUUGCACCACAAAAU
rnacentral:lncRNA from 1 species